UAUUGCUUUUUGCUGCACAAGCAAGAGAGAGCAUAAAUACUAGGCAGCACGAGCGAACGUCUUCUCUUAAGUGAAUCAAAAAAUAUCAUUGAACACUUAAGGGAAGUUAAAGAUAUAAUGAUGAGACAAGAGAAAUUACAUGGAAAAGAUGCAGCUGACAAAGAAGCACCUCAAUGGCGGGGAAACGGGAAGAGAAGCUCAACCCCCUUUCUAAGUAUUUCGCUGCAGAGUGCCAGCGCGCCUGGCCAAGGGCACCGCUCUGCUUUCCCCGCGACACAAACUACCUCGCUGGGGAUCGCUGGUCUCGCCGGAGACCAGAUGCGACGAGGCUGUUGCCCUACCGCGUAGACCGUCCGUAUGACAAGUCACGCCGAACGUAAAAGGCUGCUGACAUUCAGCUAUGCGUCGUUUCGUUACAGACAUGUUCUACAUGAUGGCUUGGCAGAAACUGCGAGAUACAGACUCCGAUCUUCGCUUUGCCACUGACCUGCCCCGUGACCUUGGACAAAUCAUUGCGCUCUUCUGUUUCUCUUCUUACUUCUGCCUGUCUUGCUCUUUAAAGCAAGAGUUCUUCAAAGGAGGGGCUGUCCCUAGUUACAUUUUUAUCCUGCAUGCCAAGGCCCUGAUCUCAGGUGAAGCGUCCAGGUAGUCUUGAAAGUAAUAAUAAAAAUGGUGGUGAGGAACAGAGGGAACUGACAUUCAGCAUCCUCAUUUCAUGCCAGGAAGAACACCAGCAUCAGCACAGUUACGGCCACAACACUUCAUCAUCAUAGUUUUUGGCCAUGAAUUAGGGGCCAGAGAGGUGUUCAUGACUUAGUGGGACAUGGGCAAGAAAAUGCACCUCUUCAGUCGUUACUGCUCAUGGCUGAAGGCUUCGUUUCUGUUAACUAAUGGAGUUAUUUUUCACCUGCAGACACCAGACUAAGACCACCAACUCAAUUAGACUGAAGAGCCAAAAGGAAAUUACACUGUCAAUCCAGGCUGAAUUCAGAUGAGCUGCUCUUUGUCUGCCACUCCCUUCCCUAGCACUGCACUGAACAUGACGACUUUCAGCACAAAAAAUUAAGACCUCCUUGCACUAGAGGUAGCAGAGCUGCUAGUUAGGACAGAUGCAAGUUUGAGCCCCCUCUAGCCAAGCAGAUGCCAUAUAUCACCCAUGUUAGAAGAGCACUCAUAUUACCAGUGUAUUUUACAUAAAACAGGACAUGGCUUUUGCUCCCUCUUGAGGCUAUGUUUCAUCGAGGACUGACCCUGCACUGGUAACUUCAGCCCUCAAGCCCAGGGGAUUUAAAUUAUGAUCUGACUUAGGAUCUCCAUCAGGUACUUAGACUCCCAAGAGGGGCAGAACUUCAGAAGGGCUCUUUAGCACCUCCUGGAUUCCUCCUACUCAGCCUGCUGGCUGUCGUGACGCCUAUCCCAGGUCACUUCAAAUCAGCUGACUUGGCUGAAUCCCUCUACACCCUCAUCUUACACCACCAUCUUACAAGGAUGAUAUGCUCAGGCACAGCCUUACCAGUGGUGACACAUAAGAAACAGAUGUAAGAAAGCCAAUUCUACCCUCCAGGGGUAGGGACGGCCAACCUGUGACACUGAAGCUUCAUGAUGUUGACAAGCAGAUUAAGUACAGCUCCCCUGCUAAAGCCUGCCUGGCAUCAGGACUGUGCUGGUGAAGAACCGUCCGCAUGGUUCAGAUGUGCAAAGACUGCUGAAGAUGGUAUUUCAGGACUACAGGGAACACAAUUGCAUGUUCACUCCAGCUCCAUCAAGUCUUGCAAAACCAAGACCCCCAGGGAGCUUUCAUCACCUUAUACCUGUGAACUCCUGCCCGCAAUCUUCCCCUCUUGGCUCUCUGCGGGACGUGGCACCUGCCCAGUGCCACACAGGAAAACGCUGGUGCGUAGCCCAUACGGUGGGCAAGGCUCACCGCUUCCUCACCAUCACCUCCUCCCUCUCCAGCAGCACCUCAAGUCUCCUUCAGUGCAGGAGCUUCAGUUCCCUGGAAACUUCAGUAGAACUAUGACAGCUGCCCUAAGAGAUCUAGAUAGAUGAAAAUAUACACUGAAUUGCUAAGACAAAUUCAUAAUAAAAACUGAGUCACUUUUGAGUUUAGCCACAUAAAAAACAAAGGAAAGAUAGUGGCAGUUCUGCUAAGCAGACUUUAGUAGAGAAACUGUUACGGACAGAAGAAAAAAAGCUACUUAGAAAUACUGAAUAAAGCCAAUACAAUAAGAAAAGAUAUAAGAAACUAACAGUUUUCUCCCUUUCCUCCCUUUACCCUUCCUCCCUUUUUAAAAGUAAUCUUGACCUACUGUGACUCACAGAAGUUACCUGCUGGGUACACAUCAGAAAUAUAUCAGUAACUAGAGAAUGGGGAAUCUCUCUCAGAGCAUGGAAAAGAAACCCAAAUGAAAGCUCUACCGUUAGGAAUAUUAAUAUUGGGAUGUUUGAGUUAAGACAGUUGCAGACUGCAAGGCUCUGUUGCUACUCGUGAUUUGUGCAAGUGGGAGUAUCAGCAAUUCAUUCUGUGAAAAAUAGUGCUUCAGCUGGUAGAGUUGGAAGAGAAGAGUGAAAGAAAUGAGGCCUUUUGUCUCGGAUUACAUGUCUAAGGGCUAGAAAAAACCUACUAGCUCUUUUUUUUCCUCCUCCUGCAAAAAACAAAUAAAAUGAAACAGAAGGAAAAAACCCCGACAACAUAGCAACAUGACAGUGAUGUGUAUAAUGAUCUCUGGCAGCCUAAGAUAAGAUCACAGCCCUUGGGACUGGUGGAGCCUGGAGCUAAUGGACCCCUGCUUUGGGGAAAAACUAGAAGUGUACCAAAAAAAAGUUCAGUUCUCAUAUUAAAAAGAAAGGAGAGGUAUGUUGCUAAAUCUAUUCCUUCUGAAGGAAGCUUUGAAAAUAUAAAUGUGUGAAGACAGCUGAA